UUAAGUUCAUGAGAUUCCGGGAUGGCAACUUUUUCAAGCUUUAUGGUAACUGCUAAAGUGCAGGUUUGAACUGAUCCACAAAAUGACCAUAAAAUUUGGGGUUUUAGUUCUCUGUGACUCUUGUGUGACACAGAGUGUGGGAGUAAAUGAGAUACUGAGACCAGCGGAAACCUUCUGUGUGGAGCUAUCUAAUGUCAUGCGAUCAUUGGUUAUCUUUCUUCUGACAUGAUCUCUCUGAGAAUCGAUCCUUCAUAUCAACAAGUGCCUCCUAGUCUCAAAGCAGAGGUGAAAGGCCCGCAGAACCAGCACAUCUAGCCGUGUUUCUGACCAAGCUUUUCCUCCAGCUGGUGAAAUCCCAGGGCAUAGAUGCAGCCCUCAGAAAUGAGCAAGGAGAGAGUGACAUACACGGAACUGAAACUCCCAUAUUCAAAGAAACAGAAGAACAAAAGACAUCCAACACCCAAAAAAAGAGAAUUUCCAUGGCGUGGUGUUGCAAUAAUCCUGGGAAUCAUAUGUUUUUUUCUCCUGCUGGCCAUCACAGGCUUAGGAUAUAUGUAUUUUUGGAACUCUUCUGAGGGCAAAGGACAAGAUAUAAAAGUUGUCCUUUGUGUCAAAGGAAAAAAAUACUUCCUCACCAGACGUUGAAGAUCACUCAGUUUUGCCGAGUUGUACCGGUAAAGACUAUGACCCAUGUCAAGAAAAAUGGUUCUGCUGUGGAAACAACUGUUACUAUUUUUCAAAAGAAGAGAAAACUUGGGCUGAGAGUAAGAUGUCAUACCAAGACCUAUGUUCUAGUCGUACUAAGGUUUAUGACAAACAGGAUCAGGAAUUUUCAGCAGACUACACCUAAUGCAAAAUGUGGACACGUCGUCAGCAAGUAUUACUACCACUGAUUGUACUCGAGAGUUUCAUUUCAUUUGUGAAAAGAAGUUUACCUGUCUUGAUAAUUAAAAAAUGACUAUAAUCAA